GAUGAACGCUGGCGGCGUGCCUAAUACAUGCCAGUCGAGCGAACGGACUACAAUCUUGCUUCUCUUAUGUUAGCGGCGGACGGGUGAGUAACACGUGGAUAACCUACCUAUAAGACUUGGAUAACUUCGGGAAACCUUAGCUCAUACCGGAUUAUAUUUUGCACCUCAUUGUUCAAAAAUGAAAGACGUUCUUUCUGUCACUUAUAGAUGGUUCCUCGCUUCAUUAUCUAGUUGGUAAGGUAACGGCUUACCAAGGCAACGAUGCAUAGCCGACCUGAUAGGGUGAUCGGACACACGAGAAGUGAGAAAGGGUACAGACUACUACGGGAGGAAGCAGAAGGGAAUAUUACGAAAUGGGGGAAAGGAUGACGGAGCAACGCGGCGGGAGAGAUGAAGGUCUAAGGAUCGUAAAACUAUGUUAGUAGGGAAGAAGAAAAGUGUAAGUAACAGUGAACAUAAUGACGGUAACUAAGCAGAAAGCCACGGCUAACUACGUG
rnacentral:rRNA from 1 species